rnacentral:rRNA from 1 species
UACGUAGGGCGCAAGCGUUAUCCGGAAUUAUUGGGCGUAAAGAGCUCGUAGGCGGUUUGUCGCGUCUGCCGUGAAAGUCCGGGGCUCAACUCCGGAUCUGCGGUGGGUACGGGCAGACUAGAGUGAUGUAGGGGAGACUGGAAUUCCUGGUGUAGCAGUGAAAUGCGCAGAUAUCAGGAGGAACACCGAUGGCGAAGGCAGGUCUCUGGGCCACUACUGACGCUGAGAAGCGAAAGCAUGGGGGAGCGAACAGG